CCUACGGUGCGCAGCAGUGGGGAAUAUUGCACAAUGGGCGAAAGCCUGAUGCAGCAACGCCGCGUGAAGGAAGACGGUUUUCGGAUUGUAAACUUCUGUUCUUAGUGAAGAAUAAUGACGGUAACUAAGGAGCAAGCCACGGCUAACUACGUGCCAGCAGCCGCGGUAAUACGUAGGUGGCAAGCGUUGUCCGGAAUUACUGGGUGUAAAGGGAGGGGAGGCGGGAAGCCAAGUCAGCUGUGAAAACUACGGGCUUAACCUGUAGACUGCAGUUGAAACUGGCUUUCUUGAGUGAAGUAGAGGUUGGCGGAAUUCCGAGUGUAGCGGUGAAAUGCGUAGAUAUUCGGAGGAACACCGGUGGCGAAGGCGGCCAACUGGGCUUUAACUGACGCUGAGGCACGAAAGCGUGGGGAUCGAACAGGAUUAGAUACCCCAGUAGUC
rnacentral:rRNA from 1 species